rnacentral:sRNA from 1 species
UUCUGCUUCAUUCCAUGGCCAGAGCAAGCCACGUGGGCAAGCCCGAAACCAGGGGGCGGGAAAGUACCCUCCACCCACAACGAAACCAUGGCAAGCGGUGGUUGCAGACGCAAAAACCAAGGCCAAACAGCUGAGUUUUCUGCCCUGGAGGAGGAAAGUGGUCUCUGAAAGCCAGAAGACUCUCACAUUACAUAAUUCCUGCCAGCUGCUGUCAAGAGCUGCUAAGCUGUCCUCAAGUCCUGUGUCUGAUGUCAAGCUAAUAACAGAUUUAGGGUGCAUUAGUAAAGGUAUCUUAAUCAAGUCUAGAUGCCUUCGAGAUUAGACUCAGCCAUGAUGAGCAGCUAAGGAUUAGCAAGAAAGAUUACAAAUUGUUUCCAGGAAUUUAUUUCUUUCAACACUGAUUAUAUGUAUAGUCUUAAGUCAAAUUAAAAUGUUGUUUAUGUUC